GUGGGAGGAGAGACUCCAUGUUCUUGAGGAGAAGUCAUAUUCAGGAGGACAGGAAGUAUCCUGGAUUACUUAGUGACCUGAACCCAAAGAAAAUUCAGAGUGGUUCAGAAACUGAGGUAGAGAAAUGCAUACAGUCUUUCUUCUCAGUCCCAAAAGAUGUACGUGGAUUUACAAGAAAACUAAACAUGAAUAGAAACAUACAUCUUGCCAUGGUGUUGAGGUAUGCAUGUUCUUGUGACUGAAGUAUGGAACUGGGAGUCAGGAGUCCUUGUGGAGAAGUACCUGACAAGGGGACACAGGUGUGACUGAGCCCACCUCGCUUAAAGGCCCUGCUCAUUCUGUGACAGACAGACUCUGCUACCUUUGCCUGACUCUGAAAGUUGUCCUACUGCUAUGAAGUUUUACUUCACCUGCGGUGACAACCACCAGGACUACAAACCUUGUAGGGACAGGAUCUAAGGAAAAUGGAACGCUGGCAGUGACCCCUGGAAGGAAGAUGAUGCUUAUGGAGCUGCGGCAACCACACCAACGGAACGCAGCUGGGGAAGAAAGCUACCUAUUGCCUUACAGCAGCAGAAGAAGCUAGCUACACAUGAUCACAAGCAUCAACAGCGCUCACUAGCGGCCAGCGCUCUCAAGGCAGAUACUGUGGAAAGCAACAUCACAAGCCACAAGUAACGUUUUUUUGUAAGUAGCUAACGGCCCUGCUACCCUAGCAUCUUUAGCAGCACCGCAGCCCACACCGCUAUCAUUGUUCUUAAGCAGCUCUUACCGCAACAGAAGCAAUCCACCCAGGGUUCUGAGGUUGCUCUGGCAAUGGCCGUUUCUACCACUCCACCUGCAGGAAACCACCACAGCAGCUACCAUAUCAACUACCAAUGGCUUCUGUAUCUGUCAUCUGAGGAGAAACUUCUCAGCAGGAGCAAACAGCCACCCAACGCAGCCACUAUCACCUGCAAUCCACCAUCUCCGAACUGUGAUCUCUAGCUACUGACAGAACAGAAGGACCCUUGUAAGAUGACUCAGAUGGACUUUUUAAGAAGGCUUCUUUAAGUUUAAUUGUCUUUUAUCUCAGCAUGGCGUAUGGGUGUGAUGUGUAAAUAAAGCUGGAUGUUCAUGGUCUGAGUGACAUCUUUCUCCUACCUAUCUAAUAAUUGCCUGAUCAGCACUUGUUGGUUGGUUAGCGUUAAGUAUUUAGUAUCAAAUACUUAACUGAUAUAAUGUCACAUGUUUAAUUGUUACAUUGGCAUAAGGCACAGAGUGUUAACAAUAUAAUCAUUUACUUAUGUGCCUUUGGGUUAAACUGAAAUUGUUACUACAGUGUUGUGUUUUUAUUUGCCGUGCCACUUCAUUUCCUUUUAAACUGUAACCCUGUUUUACCUAUCUCUACUCUUUUACUGUAACCACUCACUUCUAAAUAAAUAUUAUUUUUGUUUUU